rnacentral:misc_RNA from 1 species
GAUGAAGAACGUAGCGAAAUGCGAUAAGUAAUGUGAAUUGCAGAAUUCAGUGAAUCAUCGAAUCUUUGAACGCACAUUGCGCCCGCCAGUAUUCUGGCGGGCAUGCCUGUUCGAGCGUCAUUUCAACCAUCAAGCCCCCCGGCUUGUGUUGGGGACCUGCGGCUGCCGCAGGCCCUGAAAAGCAGUGGCGGGCUCGCUGUCACACCGAGCGUAGUAGAUCUCAUCUCGCUCAGGGCGUGCUGCGGGUUCCGGCCGUUAAACCACCUUCAUAACCCAAGGUUGACCUCGGAUCAGGUAGGAAGACCCGCUGAACUUAAGCAUAUCAAUAAGCGGAAGA